AGUGAACGCUGGCGGUAGGCCUAACACAUGCAAGUCGAACGGCAGCACAGUAAGAGCUUGCUCUUACGGGUGGCGAGUGGCGGACGGGUGAGAAAUACAUCGGAAUCUACUUUUUCGUGGGGGAUAACGUAGGGAAACUUACGCUAAUACCGCAUACGACCUAAGGGUGAAAGCAGGGGAUCUUCGGACCUUGCGCGAUUGAAUGAGCCGAUGUCGGAUUAGCUAGUUGGCGGGGUAAAGGCCCACCAAGGCGACGAUCCGUAGCUGGUCUGAGAGGAUGAUCAGCCACACUGGAACUGAGACACGGUCCAGACUCCUACGGGAGGCAGCAGUGGGGAAUAUUGGACAAUGGGCGCAAGCCUGAUCCAGCCAUACCGCGUGUGUGAAGAAGGCCUUCGGGUUGUAAAGCCCUUUUGUUGGGAAAGAAAAGCAGCAGGUUAAUACCCCGCUGUUCUGACGGUACCCAAAGAAUAAGCACCGGCUAACUUCGUG
rnacentral:rRNA from 1 species